rnacentral:rRNA from 1 species
AGUGAACGCUGGCGGUAGGCCUAACACAUGCAAGUCGAACGGCAGCACAGUAAGAGCUUGCUCUUACGGGUGGCGAGUGGCGGACGGGUGAGGAAUACAUCGGAAUCUACUUUUUCGUGGGGGAUAACGUAGGGAAACUUACGCUAAUACCGCAUACGACCUACGGGUGAAAGCAGGGGAUCUUCGGACCUUGCGCGAUUGAAUGAGCCGAUGUCGGAUUAGCUAGUUGGCGGGGUAAAGGCCCACCAAGGCGACGAUCCGUAGCUGGUCUGAGAGGAUAAUCAGCCACACUGGAACUGAGACACGGUCCAGACUCCUACGGGAGGCAGCAGUGGGGAAUAUUGGACAAUGGGCGCAAGCCUGAUCCAGCCAUACCGCGUGGGUGAAGAAGGCCUUCGGGUUGUAAAGCCCUUUUGUUGGGAAAGAAAAGCAGCAGGUUAAUACCCCGCUGUUCUGACGGUACCCAAAGAAUAAGCACCGGCUAACUUCGUGC